UCUAUGUCUGGGCCGGCAGGGUCGGAAGGCCGAGGGGUGCUGGCGUGGCUGGGAAGUAAUGGGCGUAAAGCGCACGUAGGCGGAUUGUAAAGGCGGGGGUGAAAUCCUGUGUCGCAACGCCGGAACGGGCGUCGAUACUGGGGAUCGCGAGUUCGGGAGAGGUGAGUGGAACUGCGAGUGUAGAGGUGAAAUUCGUAGAUAUUCGCAAGAACAACAGUGGCGAAGGCGGAUCACUGGCCCGAGACUGACGCUGAGGGGCGAAAGCGUGGGGAGCAAACAGGAUUAGAUACCCCUGUAGUC
rnacentral:rRNA from 1 species